AUUGAACGCUGGCGGCAGGCCUAACACAUGCAAGUCGAACGGUAACAGGAAACAGCUUGCUGUUUCGCUGACGAGUGGCGGACGGGUGAGUAAUGUCUGGGAAACUGCCUGAUGGAGGGGGAUAACUACUGGAAACGGUAGCUAAUACCGCAUAACGUCGCAAGACCAAAGAGGGGGACCCUCGGGCCUCUUGCCAUCGGAUGUGCCCAGAUGGGAUUAGCUUGUUGGUGGGGUAACGGCUCACCAAGGCGACGAUCCCUAGCUGGUCUGAGAGGAUGACCAGCCACACUGGAACUGAGACACGGUCCAGACUCCUACGGGAGGCAGCAGUGGGGAAUAUUGCACAAUGGGCGCAAGCCUGAUGCAGCCAUGCCGCGUGUAUGAAGAAGGCCUUCGGGUUGUAAAGUACUUUCAGCGGGGAGGAAGGGAGUAAAGUUAAUACUUUUGCUCAUUGACGUUACCCGCAGAAGAAGCACCGGCUAACUCCGUG
rnacentral:rRNA from 1 species